CAGAAAAAUCAUUUCUCUCUCAUUUCUUCUUCUUCUGCUGCUGCUUUCCCUCUCUCUCUUCAUGUGAUCCUACCUGUUCUAGGGUUCUUCUUCUCGCUGAUCCUAUGAAAUCUAACAGGGUGACACACAGCACAACUUCAAAUUAGCCCAUAAAUAAUAUAUAAUGAGUUACAUGAAGCUUAGUUCGAGGAAGCUGAGAUCCGUGAAUCGUAAUAGUGAGUCAUGUAAAACUUAAUUCAAGCGAGAAAUUAUUAUUUUAUGUGAAUAAAGUCUCAUAUUAAUAAUUGUAAAGAUUGAGAAUUUAUAUAUAAAAUAUAUAAAUAUCUUAAUUAUAUAUGAUUUUUUGAAGAAUCGUACGGACGUGAUCCAAAACAAACAAUAUUAUAUCAUAUUAAAGAUAUCUUUGAGCAAUUAUAACCUUACAAUACCGACAAGAGUUACAUAGCUGAUUAACAAGCGUCCAUUUUUGAAUGAUUAAAGUGAACUGCGGGUAUCUCUUCAAACGAGGGGAUCAUAAUAGUCAUGGUCCUCAUGGACAUGAAAUGCUUAAUUUUGCAUGCUUUGAAGUUUGGACAUUGAACAUUAAUUUGCCACUGGACAACGGAAAAGACAAACGACUUACUUUGGUUUCUCCGUAUGGAAAUUAGUUGAAUUGUUCUUACUCGUUAUGAUUAUUGCAGUGCCAUGUGAUCUCUCC
rnacentral:lncRNA from 1 species